AUUGAACGCUGGCGGCAUGCCUUACACAUGCAAGUCGAACGGCAGCACGGGAGCAAUCCUGGUGGCGAGUGGCGAACGGGUGAGUAAUAUAUCGGAACGUGCCCAGUCGUGGGGGAUAACGUAGCGAAAGCUACGCUAAUACCGCAUACGAUCUAUGGAUGAAAGCGGGGGAUCGCAAGACCUCGCGCGAUUGGAGCGGCCGAUAUAAGAUUAGGUAGUGGGUGAGGUAAAGGCGCACCAAGCCGACGAUCUGUAGCUGGUCUGAGAGGACGACCAGCCACACUGGGACUGAGACACGGCCCAGACUCCUACGGGAGGCAGCAGUGGGGAAUUUUGGACAAUGGGCGCAAGCCUGAUCCAGCAAUGCCGCGUGCAGGAUGAAGGCCUUCGGGUUGUAAACUGCUUUUGUACGGAACGAAACGGCGAGCUCUAAUACAGUUUGCUAAUGACGGUACCGUAAGAAUAAGCACCGGCUAACUACGUGCCAGCAGCCGCAGUAA
rnacentral:rRNA from 1 species